rnacentral:rRNA from 1 species
UACGGGGGGAGCAAGCGUUGUUCGGAUUUACUGGGCGUAAAGGGCGCGUAGGCGGUCGUGACAAGUCACUUGUGAAAUCUCCGGGCUUAACUCGGAACGGUCAAGUGAUACUGUCGGACUAGAGUGCAGAAGGGGCAACUGGAAUUCUCGGUGUAGCGGUGAAAUGCGUAGAUAUCAGGAGGAACACCGAUGGCGAAGGCAGGUCUCUGGGCCACUACUGACGCUGAGAAGCGAAAGCAUGGGGGAGCGAACAGG